GAUUUAAAAGGCGUCUUCUGAUAAACCUCAGCAUCUCCUUACUAACAUACUAAGAGCAAUCACUGAACACUUUUCGUAUGUUCAAUGCGUCCUCGCGGGAUCUGAGAAGCAUUGUCCUAUUAAAUCUCAGUCGUCUGAUUUUCAGCAUCAAUUUAUCUUGGGAGCUGCUCCUGCAUUUUAUAAGGUGAAUUCUACAGCAACGAGAUUAAAGAUUCAGAAAGUCUUAUUGGCUGUGCAAACUUGAGGGAGUUGCCUAACCACUCUGGGCCCUGUUUUCCUGG
rnacentral:lncRNA from 1 species